CUACGGGUUGCUGCAGUGAGGAAUAUUGCACAAUGGGGGGAACCCUGAUGCAGCAACGCCGCGUGGAGGAUGACGCAUUUCGGUGUGUAAACUCCUUUUAUAUGUCAAGAAAAUGACGGUAGCAUAUGAAUAAGCACCGGCUAACUCCGUGCCAGCAGCCGCGGUAAUACGUGAGGGUGCAAGCGUUACUCGGAAUCACUGGGCGUAAAGGACGCGUAGGCGGGUUGGAAAGUCAGGUGUGAAAUCCUACAGCUUAACUGUAGAACUGCACUUGAAACUUCUAAUCUAGAGUAUGGGAGGGGGAGAUGGAAUUAGUGGUGUAGGGGUAAAAUCCGUAGAUAUCACUAGGAAUACCUAAAGCGAAGGCGAUCUCCUGGAACAUUACUGACGCUAAGGCGUGAAAGCGUGGGGAGCAAACAGGAUUAGAUACCCGGGUAGUC
rnacentral:rRNA from 1 species